CAAACCGACACAGGUGGUCAGGUAGAGAAUACCAAGGCGCUUGAGAGAACUCGGGUGAAGGAACUAGGCAAAAUGGUGCCGUAACUUCGGGAGAAGGCACGCUGACACGUAGGUGAAGUGAUUUACUCAUGGAGCUGAAGUCAGUCGAAGAUACCAGCUGGCUGCAACUGUUUAUUAAAAACACAGCACUGUGCAAACACGAAAGUGGACGUAUACGGUGUGACGCCUGCCCGGUGCCGGAAGGUUAAUUGAUGGGGUCAGCGCAAGCGAAGCUCCUGAUCGAAGCCCCGGUAAACGGCGGCCGUAACUAUAACGGUCCUAAGGUAGCGAAAUUCCUUGUCGGGUAAGUUCCGACCUGCACGAAUGGCGUAAUGAUGGCCAGGCUGUCUCCACCCGAGACUCAGUGAAAUUGAACUCGCUGUGAAGAUGCAGUGUACCCGCGGCAAGACGGAAAGACCCCGUGAACCUUUACUAUAGCUUGACACUGAACAUUGAGCCUUGAUGUGUAGGAUAGGUGGGAGGCUUUGAAGUGUGGACGCCAGUCUGCAUGGAGCCGACCUUGAAAUACCACCCUUUAAUGUUUGAUGUUCUAACGUGGACCCGUAAUCCGGGUUGCGGACAGUGUCUGGUGGGUAGUUUGACUGGGGCGGUCUCCUCCUAAAGAGUAACGGAGGAGCACGAAGGUUGGCUAAUCCUGGUCGGACAUCAGGAGGUUAGUGCAAUGGCAUAAGCCAGCUUGACUGCGAGCGUGACGGCGCGAGCAGGUGCGAAAGCAGGUCAUAGUGAUCCGGUGGUUCUGAAUGGAAGGGCCAUCGCUCAACGGAUAAAAGGUACUCCGGGGAUAACAGGCUGAUACCGCCCAAGAGUUCAUAUCGACGGCGGUGUUUGGCACCUCGAUGUCGGCUCAUCACAUCCUGGGGCUGAAGUAGGUCCCAAGGGUAUGGCUGUUCGCCAUUUAAAGUGGUACGCGAGCUGGGUUUAGAACGUCGUGAGACAGUUCGGUCCCUAUCUGCCGUGGGCGCUGGAGAACUGAGGGGGGCUGCUCCUAGUACGAGAGGACCGGAGUGGACGCAUCACUGGUGUUCGGGUUGUCAUGCCAAUGGCACUGCCCGGUAGCUAAAUGCGGAAGAGAUAAGUGCUGAAAGCAUCUAAGCACGAAACUUGCCCCGAGAUGAGUUCUCCCUGAGACUUAGAGUCUCCUGAAGGAACGUUGAAGACGACGACGUUGAUAGGCCGGGUGUGUAAGCGCAGCGAUGCGUUGAGCUAACCGGUACUAAUGAACCGUGAGGCUUAACCUUAC
rnacentral:rRNA from 1 species